UACAGAGGUCUCAAGCGUUGUUCGGAUUCAUUGGGCGUAAAGGGUGCGUAGGCGGCGUGGUAAGUCGGGUGUGAAAUCUCGGAGCUUAACUCCGAAACUGCAUUCGAUACUGCCGUGCUUGAGGACUGGAGAGGAGACUGGAAUUUACGGUGUAGCGGUGAAAUGCGUAGAUAUCGUAAGGAAGACCAGUGGCGAAGGCGGGUCUCUGGACAGUUCCUGACGCUGAGGCACGAAGGCCCAGGGGGAGCAAACGGG
rnacentral:rRNA from 1 species